rnacentral:pre_miRNA from 1 species
CAACUACUCCCUCUGUCCCAAAUUUCUUGUCUUAGAUUUGUCUAGAUACGGAUGUAUCUAAUACUAAAAUGUGACUUGAUACAUCCGUAUCUAGACAAAUCUAAGACAANCGUAUCUAGACAAAUCUAAGACAAGAAUUUUGGGACGGAGGGAGUACUUU